rnacentral:tRNA from 1 species
GGAAAGGUGGCCGAGUGGUCGAAGGCGCAGCAUUGGAAAUGCUGUUUAAAAGCGAUUUUAACGAGGGUUCGAAUCCCUUCCUUUCCU